UACGUAGGGUGCAAGCGUUGUCCGGAAUUAUUGGGCGUAAAGAGCUCGUAGGCGGUUUGUCGCGUCUGCUGUGAAAACUCGGGGCUCAACUCCGAGCUUGCAGUGGGUACGGGCAGACUAGAGUGCGGUAGGGGAGACUGGAAUUCCUGGUGUAGCGGUGGAAUGCGCAGAUAUCAGGAGGAACACCUGAGGCGAAGGCGGGCUACUGGGCCGAUACUGACGCUGGAUGCGCGAAAGCCAGGGGAGCGAACGGG
rnacentral:rRNA from 1 species